rnacentral:rRNA from 1 species
AUUGAACGCUGGCGGCAGGCCUAACACAUGCAAGUCGAGCGGGGCUUUCGGACCUAGCGGCGGACGGGUGAGUAAUGCGUAGGAAGCUACCCGAUAGAGGGGGAUACCAGUUGGAAACGACUGUUAAUACCGCAUAAUGUCUACGGACCAAAGUGUGGGACCUUCGGGCCACAUGCUAUCGGAUGCGCCUACGUGGGAUGUAGCUAGUUGGUGAGGUAAGGGCUCACCAAGGCGACGAUCCCUAGCUGGUUUGAGAGGAUGAUCAGCCACACUGGAACUGCGACACGGUCCACACUCCUACGGGAGGCAGCAGUGGGGAAUAUUGGACAAUGGGCGCAAGCCUGAUCCAACCAUGCCGCGUGUGUGAAGAAGGCCUUCGGGUUGUAAAGCACUUUCAGUAGGGAGGAAGGGUGUUGUGUUAAUAGCACAGCAUUUUGACGUUACCUACAGAAGAAGCACCGGCUAACUCUGUGCCAGCAGCCGCAGUAACAC